CAGUAGCCGCGGUAAUACGGAGGGUGCAAGCGUUAAUCGGAAUUACUGGGCGUAAAGCGCACGCAGGCGGUCUGUCAAGUCAGAUGUGAAAUCCCCGGGCUUAACCUGGGAACUGCAUUUGAAACUGGCAGGCUAGAGUCUUGUAGAGGGGGGUAGAAUUCCAGGUGUAGCGGUGAAAUGCGUAGAGAUCUGGAGGAAUACCGGUGGCGAAGGCGGCCCCCUGGACAAAGACUGACGCUCAGGUGCGAAAGCGUGGGGAGCAAACAGGAUUAGAUACCCGAGUAGUCCCUGUCUCUUAUAA
rnacentral:rRNA from 1 species